rnacentral:rRNA from 1 species
AACUACGCUGGCGGCGUGCUUAACACAUGCAAGUCGUACGAGAAAGUCGGCUUCGGCUGAUGAGUAAAGUGGCGCACGGGUGAGUAACGCGUGGAUAAUCUGCCCUUAAGUGUGGAAUAACGUACCGAAAGGUGCGCUAAUACCGCAUAAUACUGAGUGACUACUGUUGCUCAGUCAAAGAAGGCCUCUGUUUACAAGCUUUUGCUUUAGGAUGAGUCCGCGUACCAUUAGCUAGUUGGUCGGGUAAUGGCCUACCAAGGCGACGAUGGUUAGCUGGUCUGAGAGGAUGAUCAGCCACACUGGGACUGAGAUACGGCCCAGACUCCUACGGGAGGCAGCAGUGGGGAAUCUUGCGCAAUGGGCGAAAGCCUGACGCAGCAACGCCGCGUGAGCGAAGAAGGCCUUCGGGUUGUAAAGCUCUGUCAGGGGGAAAGAAGGCACCUGGGUUAAUAGCCCAAGGGCUGACGGUACCUCCAAAGGAAGCCACGGCUAACUACGUG